CGAGCGGGGCGGCGACCGUCUGUCGGCGCUGGGCUGGCUCCCCCCGGGCUGGGCUUCUGCAGCCAACCGGGACUGGCCCGGUCGCGGUGUCAGUCGGAGGUGGCGGCGUCUCACCGCCGUCCCGGCUGGUGGGGCGGGGGAGAGUGGUCCUGCGGUGGGAAACGCUCGCAUCCCACAGCUGAGGUGGGCUCGGGGAGGCUGGGGUGUCGCUGCUCAGGCGGUCCCACAGUCCCCAUUAAUGUGCGUGAGGAGGUGGGCAGGAGCCCCGCGCCCGGCAGACUCCAGGGAAAAGCCAGGCGAAGGGACCGACUCCCAAUUCGAGGAGCUCCCUCUCCGGGAAUCCUUUGUUUGUGGCUGCCUGUGUGGUUUUUCAAAGCAUCGUCUCACGCAGGCAUUGGGAAUUAUUCACUUUGUUGGGAAAUGCUCGUAUGCACGUUGGAAAUAAAUGCAGUGCCUUGCUCCCUACAGGACGAUCUCAGGGAUGCGGCGUCUGCAAGGGGCUCACAGCAACAGCCAGCUCCGUGCUUGUCUGGAUGCUCUGGUGGUAAACCAUUGGAUAUUUCUGCCACUGCUGUUCAAUUUGCAUCACACCUUCUCCUGCCAGACUUUCUGCAGCCUUAAAAGACCCAUUGAACUUGAGCUCAUGGCUAGCUCUUUCUGUACUUAAAGAAGAGAGAAGUGUCUGUAUUCCCACCUAAUUUGGAGUGCAAAGAGCCUUACUCAUAUUAUUUAAUGGGGACGUUCAGCAAGAGGAAAUGAGAAUGGAGCCCUCCUCCAAUCCCAUCUAAAUCCCAGGCAAAUAUGCAAUCAGGCUUUGUGCUAACUCUGUCUUGUCCAGUGGCAGGAGACGUGGACAGGAAUCUUUUGGGGAUUGGCAGCCCGGGCUGCCCCAUUCUGGUUUUGUGCCCUUCAUCAAAGCAGUGAAGGUGAAACAGCAACUUCAUCCAGGCACUGAAUCUGUGCAAGGUUUGUGUAGAAACUGAUCUGCUGAGUGUGCUGUGCAAACAUUAUCAUAUAAAGCCCUUCCAAGCAGGGUAGAGGGAAGAAAUCCAGUCCCUAUAGAGAGGCCCUUUUUACAAGGGCCAGUAGGGACAGGAGAAUGGGGGAUGGAUUCAAACUAAAAGAGAGCAGACUUAGGAUAGAUAUUAAAAAGAAAUUCUUAACUGUGAGGGUGGGGAGACACUGGCACAGGUUGCCCAGAGAAGCUGUGGCUGCCCCAUCCCUGGCAGUGUUUAAGGCCAGGUUGGAUGGGCCUCUGAGCAACCUGGUCUAGUGGAAGGUGUCCCUGCCCAUGGCAAGGGGUUGGAACUAGUCAAAUUUUAAUGUCCCUUCCAACCCAAACCAUUCUAUGAUUCUAUGAAACUUCUUUGUAAAUACCUAAACACUGAUAUCCAUUCAUGCUUUUGUGCCUCCAGUGGGAUGUGACAGCAGAAUGAGGUUGUUAGAUGUUAAAAGGUUUUGCAUCAACUGUCUAAAUCUCACAUAAUUUUUGAGCUAUAUACCUGCACUCUUUUGGAGGUAUGUGCAGCACAGGGCUGAAUUUUCAGAGCAAGCCAAAUCAGUCCUGUGAAAAACCAAGUUCAUAGACUUUGAGGAGUCUCUUGAUUAGCUAUAAGAACAAGAAGUGAACAUGAUUAAUAAAUCAGCUAAAACCCAUUUUUGGCA
ensembl:lncRNA